CAGGCGGGAGAAGACUCUGCUUAGCAGGGCCUCUUUCAGAGACAUGUAUUCGGCAAUCAAUGCAGUGUCAGGGCAUUAUGUUAGUUUUGGACCAACAGCUCCACUUCCGGCAAAGAGAAAGGCGAGGAUUUUGGAAGAGGUGGAAACUGCAGAGAAGGCCUUAUUAAGAGGCAGGUAAAUUCAAAAACAAAAAACAAAAAAAGAUUAUUGAUCAGUAAUCAUGGAGAGAGGAGCAUUUUUUUUUUUGGUAUCAUUAAUAUAAUUAGUAUUUUGAACUGUUGCAUUUUUUUACAUUUUGUUUGUUAAUUAUGAGGUUACAGAGUGAGAUUAAUGCCGGGGGUUUUUAUCAUCAUGAAAACCCUGUUUGAUACAUUUACUACAUUCAUAUCCUCAACUAACACUGUUAUAUAUAUAUAUAUAUAUAUAUAUAUGUGAGUAUAUUUAGAUUCUGAAUUGUCAAUUGCAUUUUAAAAAAAUUAAUAAAUUGUCAAUUGCUAACCUCAAAUUGAACCGCCUGUUACACAUGGCUCAGUUUAUGUAACUUUCGUAGCUAAAAAAAGCUCAUUGCUAUCUCACUGCGCUGAAAAGUUAUGUGCAUUGUAUGUCAUGGCUUGGAAAGAUUCAACAAAAAAAGAGGUCGAUAAAAUUUAUAUAAAUAAAUAAAUAAAGCAACGGUUUUGUCAAAUUUAAGAAGAGGAAGAAGUUUUUUCACAC
rnacentral:lncRNA from 1 species